CAUCACUCACCCCAUCUAGUAACAAAUCGUAUUAACCAAGAAAUGUUUUGACAGAAAAUAUAACCUCACUUUUUAUUGUGUCGAUUAGAAAAUCAAUACCAGCUCUUUAUUAUGUUAUACCAUGACCACGAAAUGUUUGAGAAGUAGUGUUAGCUAUAAAACUAUUUGCUAGCUCCUCUGCAUGCAUCAAGACCUGAGACAAAACAACUUUACAAUGAAGCAUAAAUCAGAAAUAGAAACGUGGUAGAACGUUAAUACUGGGUUUGGACACGUCUAUUUUCAAUUUUGAGAUAGGACAUGCAUAUGGCAAC